rnacentral:rRNA from 1 species
AUUGAACGCUGGCGGCAGGCUUAACACAUGCAAGUCGAGCGGGGGAAGGUAGCUUGCUACUGGACCUAGCGGCGGACGGGUGAGUAAUGCUUAGGAAUCUGCCUAUUAGUGGGGGACAACAUCUCGAAAGGGAUGCUAAUACCGCAUACGUCCUACGGGAGAAAGCAGGGGAUCUUCGGACCUUGCGCUAAUAGAUGAGCCUAAGUCGGAUUAGCUAGUUGGUGGGGUAAAGGCCUACCAAGGCGACGAUCUGUAGCAGGUCUGAGAGGAUGCUCCGCCACAGUGAGACUGAGUCGCGGCACACACUACUACGGGAGGCAGAAGUGGGGAAUAUGGGACAAUGGGGGGAACCCUGAUCCAGCCAUGCCGCGUGUGUGAAGAAGGCCUUAUGGUUGUAAAGCACUUUAAGCGAGGAGGAGGCUACUUUAGUUAAUACCUAGAGAUAGUGGACGUUACUCGCAGAAGAAGCACCGGCUAACUCCGUGCCAGCCGCCGCCGUAA